rnacentral:rRNA from 1 species
ACGCACGCUGGCGGCGUGCUUCACACAUGCAAGUCGAACGGAAAGGCCCUGCUUUUGUGGGGUGCUCGAGUGGCGAACGGGUGAGUAACACGUGAGUAACCUGCCCUUGACUUUGGGAUAACUUCAUGAAACUGGGGCUACUACCGGAUAGGAGCUCCUGCUGCCUGGUGGGGGUUGGAAAGUUUCGGCGGUUGGGGAUGGACUGGCGGCUUAUCAGCUUGUUGGUGGGGUAGUGGCUUACCAAGGCUUUGACGGGUAGCCGGCCUGGGAGGGUGACCGGCCACAUGGGGACUGAGAUACGGCCCAGACUCCUACGGGAGGCAGCAGUGGGGAAUAUUGCACAAUGGGCGGAAGCCUGAUGCAGCAACGCCGCGUGCGGGAUGACGGCCUUCGGGUUGUAAACCGCUUUCGCCUGUGACGAAGCGUGAGUGACGGUAAUGGGUAAAGAAGCACCGGCUAACUACGUG